UCCAGAAACAAAAUCUUUCAAAAACAACAUUCUUUCUAGGCAAGAAAUAGGUUCUAAACUGUUCCAGAACCUCUGAAAUGUCUUUUGGAUUCUCUUCAGCAAAAACAAAGGUGUUAUACACAGAAAUUCCUUUUUCUCCCACACAAUGCAGCAGGAUAGCUAUCUGCCGCUUCUUUGCUACAUUGUCAAGUCCUGCAGCAGUAAUAUAUAACUGGAAAGCCUGUUCCCAUUUUCUCCAAUUCUGAGCCAUGUUACCUUCCAUAUUUAGAGGAGGAAGAGGCCGAAGUGAAUCCAUAUCUUAAUGCACUCUUCCUGUGAAAUAUACAAAGUCCAAGUUGCAGUACAGGAAGGUUUUACUUCUGACACCAUGUGAUGUCUGCUGUUGGAAUCCAAUCUUACAAGAAUCCACACAGAGUCCAGUCUUCAAGUAAGAGCAGUAAGUUUAUUCACCCAUGAGCUACUGAGCACAGUCAGUCCCAGGAGAGUGAGAUGAGGAAGAGAGAACAAUCAAUCCCUCUCCAACACUCUUAAUAGUAUAUAUAGACUGCAGCUGAUAUCACUAAGGGCUGUGUCUUAAAGGUACCUUACAUCACAGGUCUCUUCCAACUUUAUGAUUCUACGUGGCUGAGAGUAGGAUGAAGAUGCAAGGGAAGCUUAGAGUUUGGAAAUAUUACUUUUUCUGGACUAGCUAAGCAGUGGUAUUGUGGGAGUUGUGGUCCUAGAAAAGUAACAGGGAGGUUACAAAAACAAAUAUAGACAAAAAUAUGUGCAAAGAAAUUGGUAAGAACAGAAGCCAUGCUUUUCCUCGUUCUUUGUGGAGAUUAUUGAUUUCCAAAGGCCUUUGGCAAGUACCCAUUGGCAGAGGUUCUUCUUCUUUAUUGGGAGGGCCACCAUUGCCACAAGAGAGUCUGUGAAAUACAUUUUUAUUGAUUAAUUAAACAGAACAAGAAACCGGGUCAGUGAGCUGUAGCUAGGACAUUUGCAUCCAGAUGGUGUGACUGGAAUAUGGAUUCCCACAUCAUAAGAAUUUUGCCUUGAUGGGGCAGUUCUGUUUCUAAAGGAAAUCUGGUACAAAAGGCACCAGCACACACAUUUCUUGCCUGUGCAACUGACCCAGUUUUUCUUCUUUGUUCAGCUGGCCAGUAGCUUUGGGGUGAAGUUUAUGGAGACCAGUGCAAAGGCAAACAUCAAUAUAGAAAAUGCAUUUUUUACGCUUGCCAAAGAUAUCAAAACAAAAAUGGAUAAAAAGCUGGAAGGCAAUAGUCCUCAAGGAAGCAGCAGCACCAGCAGCACCAGCAUCCAAGGGGUGAAAAUCAGCCCAGACCUUCAGAAAAAAGUCAGCUUCUUCCGAUGUGUCCUCCUCUGAGGGCCCAGCCCUUAAUAUGAGCCUGGCUCAACACCUUUCCUGGAUUUGGCCUGUUUGCAAGGGUGGCCUUCUUGUUCUCUCUCGCUCUUUCUCUGGCCCCUUGCAACACACCAACCAUGCUAUGCCCAUAGUAAUGGAAUGGAGAAAGCAGCUGCUUCUUUUGGUGAUUGACUCUGUGCUACAGAAAUCCACUCUCAACACUUCUGAAAAUGCAUCAUCUAGCGUGAGGAAGAAAAUUUGUGAUCUGACAAAUAUGAAGAUUUCCUUACAAACAUCUCUCUCUUUCUCUCUCUGGGAUUUGUUUUUUCUGUGUAUGUGUACUCAGUUUAUCAGAAGAAAUAAGAUAUGAUCAGAGUAAUGCUAAUUGAUUUCCCUAUUGGUGAAAGGAAGGAUGUGGGGCAGUCAUCUUUAUGGGGCUGAAUUCUACAGCCAGCUAAAAGCACUGGAUUUUGUAGCAGAAUGCCCCCAGCCUCACUGUGGAGCCAGAAAGCUUUUUUGUCCCCUUCACAGAGAAAGGCCUCUUGGUCUACUCAUGAUGUGCUCCUGGCACUCCUUCUAGACACUCCUGUUGUAGCGUUGCACAAUGCCUCGAGAUGAAAAUAAAUAUUUUUGUA